CGGAUAGAUGGCCGAGUGGUCGAAGGCGCACGAUUGGAAAUCGUGUGUACCUCUAAAGGGUACCGAGGGUUCGAAUCCCUCUCUAUCAGCCA
rnacentral:tRNA from 1 species